AGAGUUUGAUCCUGGCUCAGAACAAACGCUGGCGGCGUGUCUUAAGCAUGCAAGUUGAGCGGCAAGGAGGAGAGAUCCUCCCUAGAGCGGCGGACUGGUGAGUAACGCGUGGGUAAUCUAUCUUAGGCAUGGGGAUAGUCACUAGAAAUAGUGGGUAAUACCGAAUAAGUUCCAUAAGGGGAGGACUUAUGGAAGAAAGGUGCUACGGCACUGGCCUUAGGUGAGCUCGCGUCCCAUUAGCUAGUUGGUGAGGUAAAGGCCCACCAAGGCGAUGAUGGGUAGCCGGCCUGAGAGGGUGUACGGCCACACUGGGACUGAGAUACGGCCCAGACUCCUACGGGAGGCAGCAGCUAAGAAUAUUCCGCAAUGGACGAAAGUCUGACGGAGCGACGCCGCGUGGAUGAAGAAGGCCGAAAGGUUGUAAAGUUCUUUUGCUAGGGGAGAAUAAGUGAGGGAGGGAAUGCCCUCAUGAUGACAAGGACUAGCGAAUAAGCCCCGGCCAACUACGUGCCAGCAGCCGCGGUAACACGUAGGGGGCGAGCGUUGUUCGGAAUUACUGGGCGUAAAGGGCAUGUAGGCGGCUUGGUAAGCCUGGCGUGAAAGACUGCAGCUUAACUGUAGGGAUGCGUUGGGAACUGCUUAGCUUGAGUUACGGAGAGGGAGCUGGAAUUCCUGGUGUAGGGGUGAAAUCUGUAGAUAUCAGGAAGAACACCGAUGGCGAAGGCAAGCUUCUGGUCGAUAACUGACGCUGAGGUGCGAAAGUGUGGGGAUCAAACAGGAUUAGAUACCCUGGUAGUCCACACUGUAAACGAUGUGCACGAGGUGCUGGGGCGGUAGUUUCAGUGCCGGAGCGAACGCGGUAAGUGCACCGCCUGGGGAGUAUGCUCGCAAGGGUGAAACUCAAAGGAAUUGACGGGGGCCCGCACAAGCGGUGGAGCAUGU
rnacentral:rRNA from 1 species